rnacentral:rRNA from 1 species
UGAGCAACCUGCCCUUAGCUCUGGGAUAACCCCGGGAAACCGGGCUAAUACCGGAUACGAGUCCGAGCGGCAUCACACGGACUGGAAAGUUUUUCGGCUAAGGAUGGGCUCGCGGCCUAUCAGCUUGUUGGUGGGGUAAUGGCCUACCAAGGCGACGACGGGUAGCCGGCCUGAGAGGGCGACCGGCCACACUGGGACUGAGACACGGCCAGACUCCUACGGGAGCA